rnacentral:rRNA from 1 species
UACGUAGGGUGCGAGCGUUAAUCGGAAUUACUGGGCGUAAAGCGUGCGCAGGCGGUUUUGUAAGCCAGAUGUGAAAUCCCCGGGCUUAACCUGGGAAUGGCAUUUGGGACUGCAAGGCUUGAGUGCGGCAGAGGAGACUGGAAUUCCUGGUGUAGCGGUGGAAUGCGCAGAUAUCAGGAGGAACACCGGUGGCGAAGGCGGGUCUCUGGGCCGAUGACUGACGCUGAGGAGCGAAAGCGUGGGGAGCGAACAGG